rnacentral:rRNA from 1 species
UGAGUGCGAGCUUCUACGGAAGCGAAGUUGGUGACGUCAAGCUUCCAAGAAAAGCCCUAUACCCGUUAAGGCAUGAUUACCUGUACCCGAAACCGACACAGGUGGGGUGGUAGAGAAUACCGAGGGGCGCGAGGUAACUCUCUCUAAGGAACUCGGCAAAAUGACCCCGUAACUUCGGGAGAAGGGGUGCCAGCGCGAGCUGGUCGCAGUGAAUAGGCCCAGGCGACUGUUUACCAAAAACACAGGUCUCCGCUAAGUCGCAAGACGAUGUAUGGGGGCUGACGCCUGCCCAGUGCCGGAAGGUUAAAGAAGUUGGUCAGCGCAAGCGAAGCUAACGACUGAAGCCCCGGUGAACGGCGGCCGUAACAAUAACGGUCCUAAGGUAGCGAAAUUCCUUGUCGGGUAAGUUCCGACCCGCACGAAAGGCGUAACGAUCUGGGCGCUGUCUCGGAGAGAGGCUCGGCGAAAUAGAAUUGUCUGUGAAGAUGCGGACUACGUGCACCCGGACAGAAAGACCCUAUGAAGCUUUACUGUAGCUUGGUAUUGUGCUCGGGCUCGCAAUGCGCAGGAUAGGUGGGAGGCUUUGAUCCAUUGCUUGUGGGUGAUGGUGAGCCACUGGUGAGAUACCACUCUUUGCGAGCUAGGGUUCUAACGGUUACCCGUCAUCCGGGAACCGGACAGUAUCUGGUGGGCAGUUUGACUGGGGCGGUCGCCUCCUAAAAGGUAACGGAGGCGCGCAAAGGUUUGCUCAGGCUGGUUGGAAAUCAGCCGACGAGUGAAAAAGCAGAAGCAAGCUUGACUGUGAGACCUACAAGUCGAACAGGGAGGAAACUCGGCUUUAGUGAUCCGACGGUUCUGAGUGGAAGGGCCGUCGCUCAACGGAUAAAAGUUACUCUAGGAUAACAGGCUGAUCUCCCCCAAGAGUUCACAUCGACGGGGAGGUUUGGCACCUCGAUGUCGGCUCAUCGCAACCUGGGGCUGAAGUCGGUCCCAAGGGUUGGGCUGUUCGCCCAUUAAAGCGGUACGCGAGCUGGGUUCAGAACGUCGUGAGACAGUUCGGUCCAUAUCCGGUGCAUGCGCAGGAAUAUUGAGAGGAUUUCUCCCUAGUACGAGAGGACCGGGAGGAACGCACCUCUGGUGUACCAGUUAUCGUGCCAACGGUAAACGCUGGGUAGCCAUGUGCGGAGUGGAUAACCGCUGAAAGCAUCUAAGUGGGAAGCCCACCUCAAGAUGAGUAUUCCCAUGGCUUAAGCCAGUAAGGUCACGGGAAGAACACCCGUUGAUAGGCUCUAUGUGGAAGCGCAGUAAUGCGUGAAGCAGAGGAGUACUAAUAGACCGAGGGCUUGAUA